rnacentral:rRNA from 1 species
CCUACGGGAGGCAGCAGUGGGGAAUAUUGCGCAAUGGGCGAAAGCCUGACGCAGCGACGCCGCGUGAGGGAUGAAGGUCUUCGGAACGUAAAGCUCUGUCAGCAGGGAAGAACGGUCACUGUGCUAAUCAGAAGAGAAUCGACGGAACCUGGAAAGGAAGGACCGGCUAACUCCGUGACAGCAGCCGCGGUAAUAAGGAGGGGGCGAGCGUUGAUCGGAAGUACUGGGCGUAAAGCGCUCGUAGACGGUAUGUCAAGUCAAGGGUGAAAUCCCCGCGCUCAACGUGGGAACUGCCUUUGAAACUGGCAAGCUAGAGUGUGUGAGAGGAUAGUGGAAUUCCAGGUGUAGGAGUGAAAUCCGUAGAUAUCUGGAGGAACAUCAGUGGCGAAGGCGACUAUCUGGCCCAUAGCUGACGCUGAGGAGCGAAAGCGUGGGUAGCAAACAGGAUUAGAUACCCCUGUAGUC